rnacentral:rRNA from 1 species
UACACUCCUGCGAGAGGCAGCAGUGGGGAAUUUUGGACAAUGGGCGAAAGCCUGAUCCAGCAAUGCCGCGUGAGUGAAGAAGGCCUUCGGGUUGUAAAGCUCUUUUGUCAGGGAAGAAACGGUGAGAGCUAAUAUCUUUUGCUAAUGACGGUACCUGAAGAAUAAGCACCGGCUAACUACGUGCCAGCAGCCGCGGUAAUACGUAGGGUGCAAGCGUUAAUCGGAAUUACUGGGCGUAAAGCGUGCGCAGGCGGUUUUGUAAGUCUGAUGUGAAAUCCCCGGGCUCAACCUGGGAAUUGCAUUGGAGACUGCAAGGCUAGAAUCUGGCAGAGGGGGGUAGAAUUCCACGUGUAGCAGUGAAAUGCGUAGAUAUGUGGAGGAACACCGAUGGCGAAGGCAGCCCCCUGGGUCAAGAUUGACGCUCAUGCACGAAAGCGUGGGGAGCAAACAGGAUUAGAUACCCCUGUAGUCCC